rnacentral:rRNA from 1 species
GUGCACCAGGCGAGAAAACUUCACACUGUGCGAAAGCACGAUGAGGGAAUCCCAAGUGCUUGCACGUAAGUGUAAGCUGUUUCUCUGUCUAAAACGCAGAGAGAGUAAGGGCUGGGUAAGACGGGUGCCAGUCGCCGCGGUAAUACCUGCAGCUCAAGUGGUGACCGUUAUUAUUGGGCCUAAAACGUCCGUAGCCGGUUUAAUAAAUGCCUGGGUAAAUUGUGUAGCUUAACUAUACGAAUUCCGGGUAGACUGUUAAACUUGAGACCGGGAGAAGUUAGAGGUACUCCUGGGGUAGAGGUGAAAUUCUGUAAUCCUAGGGGGACCACCAGUGGCGAAGGCGUCUAACUAGAACGGGUCUGACGGUGAGGGACGAAGCCCUGGGGCGCAAACGGGGAUUAGAUACCCGUGUAGU